UCACUUCACAUUAAGCGCACCCUCCCUAUAUAGGGAAUUGUCGGCUUUCGGGCCGACUAUGGCGAUAAACUGCGGUGUGCAAUAGACGCAACGGACCCGGGGGCAGUACCCGGCGGCUCCACCAUAAAACCCGCGAAAGCGGGACUUCUGACGGGGCCGAACUAGGAUCGACGUGUGUUGAAAAGCAUCGUUUUUGCCCGGGCUGAGUAACCCGAAUAAGGCUCAUUUUUAUAAGUGCAAACGACAACGAAGCACUCGCUAUUGCAGCGUAAUUGAUGGCCUAGCGGCCUGACAUUACAAAGCUUAAGCGCGGUUGGACCCACCGGGCAACAGAAGGGAUACC
rnacentral:tmRNA from 1 species